UGCCCUCCACUUUCCUCCACUUUCCUCCACUGCCCUCCACUGCCCUCCACUUUCUUCCACUGCCCUCCACUGCCCUCUACUUUCCUCCACUGCCCUCCACUUUCCUCCACUUUCCUCCACUGCCCUCCACUUUCUUCCACUGCCCUCCACUGCCCUCCACUUUCCUCCACUGCCCUCCACUGCCCUCCACUUUCCUCCACUGCCCUCCACUGCCCUCAACUUUCCUCCACUUUCCUCCACUGCCCUCCACUGCCCUCCACUGCCCUCCACUUUCUUCCACUGCCCUCCACUGCCCUCCACUUUCCUCCACUGCCCUCCACUGCUCUCCACUGCCCUCCACUUUCUUCCACUGCCCUCCACUUUCCUCCACUUUCCUCCACUUUCCUCUACUGCCCUCCACUGCCCUCCACUUUCUUCCACUGCCCUCCACUUUCCUCCACUUUCCUCCACUGCUCUCCACUUUCUUCCACUGCCCUCCACUGCCCUCCACUGCCCUCCACUUUCUUCCACUGCCCUCCACUUUCCUCCACUGCUCUCCACUGCCCUCCACUUUCUUCCACUGCUCUCCACUUUCCUCCACUGCUCUCCACUGCCCUCCACUUUCCUCCACUGCCCUCCACUUUCCUUCACUUUCCUCCACUGUUCUCCACUUUCCUCCACUGCCCUCCACUUUCUUCCACUGCCCUCCACUGUUCUCCACUUUCCUCCACUGCUCUCCACUUUCCUCCACUUUCCUCCACUGCUCUCCACUUUCCUCCACUGUUCUCCACUUUCCUCCACUCUUCAUGUUGAUAGUCAUUUAGGGUCUUUUUUUAUCUACUUGGAAAGCAGCCUCUCUAUGUUUUUAUCUCACAAUAAUCUGCACUUCCAUUUCCAUUUUAACCAUUGUUACAGUUCAUAGGUUUCUGGAAAUCUUUGUUUAAAUUCAUGGUGUCUUAACCUUCACUAGUCAUGGUGAGGUAACAAGAUAACAAGCCAAGACUACAAUAAAAGCACAAGAAAAACAUCAGUCUUCUCAAUGGUACACAUUGUACCAUGGCACAGAACAAGGAAACUUUGCAUUCAGACAUAGUU
ensembl:lncRNA